NCCGCAGCACCGCCCCCGCCCCCUCGGCGAGCCUUUCUGCCGCCCCGAAAGCGCGAAAGGUGGUGCGUGCGCGGGCGGCAGGUGAUCUGGCGGAACUGCCGCGGGCGGCUCCCCUCCGCGCCCGCCCCGCGCGGUCCUCCCCAGGGGCGGCAGCUUUUUGGUUCGUGGCCGGAAGUCGUCGAACUGCGAUUGGAGGGACGGGCGGCCGGGGAGCGCGUUCUCCCGAACCACGAACGCUGGCGGGGUUGCUCUGGGUUCCUUUGUGGGUGCAGGAGGCAGGGAGACACUUACCCUUUUGCUCACGGGCCUGACUGCGCUCCAGAAGCCUGGUGGCCGCUCAUUCCAGCUUUUGCUGUGAAGAAAAAUCACCAUGGCUUCUUCCAGACUCGGGUUCUGUUUGGCUGCUUGUUUACUAAGUAUUUCAGAAGCCAGAAGAAAAUACAUUGUUGAGAACAUAGCAAAAGCAGCUCUUCUUGAAAGAAAUGGUAGGAAAACACAGUUGAUGUGAAUAUGUAUGAGUACAGUAGUUUUUGUAUUCUGCAGACAGUGCUAUAGAACAUUCUUUCUUCUUAGACUUUUCUCCUUGUUUUGAGGCUGUUAGAGCUUCCGCAGGACUCCGGGAUACUGAGAUAGAUCAGUUACUCAUGGGCACAUGUGCUCUUCCCAAAAGCCCACAUAAGCUCAGCAGUGCACUUAUUCACACGAGAGUGAGUGCCUGAGAUGAGCAUUGUUCAGGGGUUUAGGCUCCUGAGGAGGAUAUGUUUACAUAAAAGUUUAAUGUUUCCCUCAUGGGCCACUU
rnacentral:lncRNA from 1 species